GACAGAUGUGUUUAAAAACCUUUUGGAUGUGGUGCUCAGGGACAUGAUUUAGCGGAGGGUUGUUAGAUUUAAGGUAGUACAGUUAGGUUGUGGUUGGACUUGAUGAUCUUGAAGGUCUUUUCCAAUCUGAGCAAUUCUAUGACUUUUCAUACACAGAUGGAGCCAUGAACCCUUUUUCACUACUAUCUUCACACCUGCCUCUUGUAAGAGGGUGAGGGAAUCCCAAAUUAGUCCUGCUGCCCAUAACUUAACAGCUCCCAAACUCAUACCCUAAUCUUCAAACAAAAUUAUGACAGAGAGCUUACUCAUUCUUUCUCUCGCAGUCUGAUUUAUCAAGGAAUUUGCUCAAGGGGAGCAUCUAGUCUAUCAAGGAAAUGAGUUAAACCUGUGCUCACAUCACACAAUCAAGGCAGAAGCCCAGCUGAGUUGGCACAGGUAAAAGUGAUAAAGAAGAAGUUGGUAAAAAGAGUGAAGAUACUUUAAGUGCUCUUUAGGUUGGGGUAAAAGUAUAGCAAGAAGUAUGGUAAAAUAUUUUUUAAAAUAAUUUUGUUCUUUUCUCUGUGUUCCUUGUUUUCUUUUAUGUAGUUAAUGCAGUGUAUUUGAGGUAACUGCAGAUCAUACAGUAGGUUGGUGUUUAGGGAAUUAACCUGGACCACAAAAGCAGUAGAUAAACUGGGGGAAGGAGUCCUUACACAGAAAAGAGUUUUAAAAUCACAGGGCCACACAAGCUGCUGCAGAGAAAACUAACUCUGUUCCAGGCAGAAUCACUACAGGAUCACAUCUUUUUAAAAGGCAUCUAUUUUCUGUGCUGUUAAUGCUGGUGUAACUUGCAUAGAGACCUGCUUUGCUGCAG
rnacentral:lncRNA from 1 species